GGAACAUCGGCUCGGGAAAGUGCUGGCCCCAGGGGCCGGCCUGGCGCAACGCGCGCGCCAGCUCCAGGUGGAACUCCUGGAUGCUCAAC
rnacentral:tRNA from 1 species